GGGGAAGUAACUCAGCGGUGAGAGUGGGGUUCUUAUAAAGCUCUGGUGGAAGGUUCAACUCUUUCUUUCCCUACCA
rnacentral:tRNA from 1 species